UACGAAGGGGACUAGCGUUGUUCGGAAUUACUGGGCGUAAAGCGCACGUAGGCGGCUUUGUUAGUCAGGGGUGAAAUCCCGGGGCUCAACCUCGGAACUGCCUUUGAUACUGCAAGUCUCGAGUCCGAUAGAGGUGGGUGGAAUUCCUAGUGUAGAGGUGAAAUUCGUAGAUAUUAGGAAGAACACCGGUGGCGAAGGCGGCCCACUGGUCCGGUACUGACGCUGAGGUGCGAAAGCGUGGGGAGCAAACAGG
rnacentral:rRNA from 1 species